rnacentral:misc_RNA from 1 species
GAUGAAGAACGCAGCGAAAUGCGAUAAGUAAUGCGAAUUGCAGAAUUCCAGUGAGUCAUCGAAUCUUUGAACGCACAUUGCGCCCUUUGGUAUUCCGAAGGGCAUGCCUGUUCGAGCGUCAUUAUCACCCCUCAAGCCCUCGGCUUGGUGUUGGACGGUUUGGUGGAGGCCCCCUCGGGGGUUCCUGCCCCUCCCAAAGACAAUGACGGCGGCCUCGUUGGACCCCCGGUACACUGAGUUCUUCACGGGACACGUAUCGGACACAUGGGUUUACGGGACACGGUCUGCCUCCCCUCAGGGAGAAUCUUUCUAAGGUUGACCUCGGAUCAGGUAGGGAUACCCGCUGAACUUAAGCAUAUCAAUAAGCGGAGA